AGGGAAUCUUCGGCAAUGGACGCAAGUCUGACCGAGCAACGCCGCGUGAGUGAAGAAGGUUUUCGGAUCGUAAAACUCUGUUGUUAGAGAAGAACAAGGAUGAGAGUGGAAAAUUCAUCCCUUGACGGUAUCUAACCAGAAAGCUACGGCUAACUACGUGCCAGCAGCCGCGGUAAUACGUAGGUGGCAAGCGUUGUCCGGAUUUAUUGGGCGUAAAGCGAGCGCAGGCGGUUCUUUAAGUCUGAUGUGAAAGCCCCCGGCUUAACCGGGGAGGGUCAUUGGAAACUGGGGAACUUGAGUGCAGAAGAGGAGAGUGGAAUUCCAUGUGUAGCGGUGAAAUGCGUAGAUAUAUGGAGGAACGCCAGUGGCGAAGGCGGCUUUCUGGACUGAAACUGACGCUGAGGCACGAAAGCGUGGGGAGCGAAC
rnacentral:rRNA from 1 species